UACGUAGGGGGCAAGCGUUUGUCCGGAUUUAUUGGGCGUAAAGAGCGUGUAGGCGGCCUGAAAGGUCAGCUGUGAAAACUCGAGGCUCAACCUCGAGACGUCGGUUGAAACCAUCUGGCUAGAGUCCGGAAGAGGAGUGUGGAAUUCCCGGUGUAGCGGUGAAAUGCGUAGAUAUCAGGAGGAACACCGAUGGCGAAGGCAGGUCGUCUGGGCUGAACACUGACGCUCAUGCACGAA
rnacentral:rRNA from 1 species